rnacentral:lncRNA from 1 species
UUUCUCUUUCUCUUCCGUCUUCCCCUUCCUCUCACAGCCAUUCACGAUCCAUUCAUAUCUCACUACCAAAUUCAGUGACAUACACUUAGUAGGUGCAAUAGCAAAGCAUCUGAUUUUGUUCCUCUCAAUGUUCCCCAACUUGUCCAGAUUCUGAACCACAAUCAACACCAACAAUGCCACCACCCCUGCCCCCAAUGAAUGCCCAGCAAAUGUCAAAGUAUAAUUAU